rnacentral:rRNA from 1 species
AGAGUUUGAUCCUGGCUCAGGAUGAACGCUGGCGGCGUGCCUAACACAUGCAAGUCGAACGGGGUCAUCAGAGGAAGUUUUCGGAUGGAAUCAGAUGACUUAGUGGCGGACGGGUGAGUAACGCGUGGGAAACCUGCCCUGUACCGG